UACAGAGGGUGCAAACGUUGCUCGGAAUCACUGGGCGUAAAGGGCGCGUAGGCGGGGAGGCAAGUCAGAUGUGAAAUCCCCAGGCUCAACCUGGGAACUGCAUUUGAAACUCCCUUUCUUGAGUACCGGAGAGGAAAGUGGAAUUCCUGGUGUAGAGGUGAAAUUCGUAGAUAUCAGGAGGAACACCAGUGGCGAAGGCGGCUUUCUGGACGGUAACUGACGCUGAGACGCGAAAGCGUGGGGAGCAAACAGG
rnacentral:rRNA from 1 species